ACAACAAACAUCGCCAACAAGGAUAUUCUGCCUCAACAAACUCAUGCCCCAACAAACCUCUCUAGCCAGGCUACUCCAACAAGUACUAUCCAGGAUAUUGUGCUGCAACAAUCUUAUCGUGCUUCAACAAACCUUGCCAAUCAAGACCACAUGAUUCAAGGUAUUUUAAAGUUUAAAAAUCUGCAAGUUGUAGAUGAAGUGGAUAAAUAUAGGAAUAAAGCCAUAAAAGGUAAGGAUAUUGUGCGGGAGGAAAAUACAAAACCGAAGGAUAAGAAAAAGGAUGGUACAGUCCAUCCAAAGUCGUAGGAUGAAUACCUUACCACCUUUUCAUUUGUUUAUUACUGAUGAAGAUAACAUGCUGGAAUGUUCGCGGACUUAAUAAGCCGGAGAAAUGUCGGGAGCUCAACAGAAUAAUCAAG
rnacentral:lncRNA from 1 species